rnacentral:sRNA from 21 species
GAAACGUCAACCCCGCACAACACCGCUGGUGUUGGUCAGACGGGGACCGCCGUCUCGCAAGGGACGGCUGCC